rnacentral:tRNA from 2 species
GGAGAGGUGUCCGAGCGGUCGAAGGAGCACGCCUGGAAAGUGUGUAUACCUAACGGUAUCGAGGGUUCGAAUCCCUCCCUCUCCGCCA